CGGACUCGAAACGACGCGCUGAUGACGAUCCCCACUUUCAAUUUUCCGAUCUGACCCCCGAUCAUCCCGAGAGAUUUAAGAACGAUCUCGGCCAUCGAUUCGCAAACGGAGCCCGAUCGCCACGAAACUGGUGCCAUUACGAAGCUUGAGCUGAGGAGAGUCGGGAUAUGCCCUCCAAUCGUCCAUAGCUCGCUAGAGCUCGCCGAAAAUGCCCAAAAACU
rnacentral:lncRNA from 1 species